UUGGUAUUUUAUAUAUUACGAACAAUAGUGCAAGGAGCAGCAAUCCACUAAGCAGAAAUAUUUCAUAUAUUUAAUCAACUCGGUUGCAUUACAUGGAACAAGAUAUGAAGAAGACAUUACAUGAUCUCCUAUAUAACCAUGAAAAUGACAUUCUAUAAUGUAAAUGUAAAACUAUCUUGUAGUAGCCCCGCCCUCCAUCUUUGUAUCAACAACUUACCCAUACAGCAUCUUCGUCUUCGUCGCCUUUCAUGCUGGAUGACAAGCUUCUCUAUGAACUUCCUGCAGACCCAUCCUAUGACAUUGUUAUAGGAUGAAUCACCACCACCCUGCCCAUCAUUCAGUACAGGAACUGACUGGCAAAGCGCCACUACAACAGAUUAAAUAAACAUAAUGAAAAUCCGGCAUGAGGAGAUGGAAGCCACAUGUAACACUUAAAUAUUCUGGGAUUGAUAAUUUAUCGAAGGAAGGCUCACAUCAGUUCAGUGUAUCAUAAAUUAUCAUGACAAAUCCUUGUCGUUCCUUAUCCUAGCAGAAGCUCGAUUUAACUGUAACAAGAAUGUAUAACUGUGAACUAGGCAUGCCACUCUGUUAGGCACUUUUAAUUUUGUCACCUCAAUCUUUUUCUUUUAUUUUG
rnacentral:lncRNA from 1 species